rnacentral:lncRNA from 1 species
AUGGAUAAAAUGAACCUAGAUUCACAGACAUUCAUCAUUGUUGAUGAAAGUAAAUUACAAGGACUCCUUAUACUAAACAUCACUGAUGAAAGACAAGAGCUGGAUGUCGUGCUAACCCAUAACAUUCAAGAAGCUGCUGACAUUGGAAUUCCUAUGAGGAUGUUAGUUGAUGUAAUAUCAGAAAAAAAUACUAACUUCUAUAGAAGACUGACUUACUUCUGUGUGAACAACAAGCAAAUUAGAGAAGAACUGAGCCUUGUCCAGAAUUUGGGUGUUGUGUCUCUGAACUACAAACUUACUCAUAACAUAGAGGCACUGAAGGCUUUGCAAAUAGAAGACAGGAUUGAGUUGCAGGCUAUUUUGAACCUGAAAGCGAUCAAGAGCUUGAGUAUUAAAGUGCAUUAUGGUGCUCACUUGACGGUUCUUGAAGGGCGUAUCCAGGAGUCUGAAACAAGUACCAAUGUAACAGGGAAUUUCGAGCAUACUUGGCCAUGGUUGAUACAAGCCAGAAUCCCAACAUCUAUACAGGUAGUUUCAAUUUAA